rnacentral:lncRNA from 1 species
GCGUGUAGAUAAAAUUGUUAUGGACACUCUAGAACCAAAAUGUUUAAAACUUGGUAUGGUAUUACUCGUUAAAGUUGAAAGGUCAAGGUCACAGUGGCAGUCGUAAUACAAGGCAAUACCACCCUUGUUGACACUCUCAAACUAAUAUGCUUCAAAAGAUUUUAACCACAUUUGGUAUAUAGUUCCUCCUUGUAAUGAUCUG